UUGCAGACUGUUAUCCCCUUUUAGUCUGCUGUGACUCUAGGGGGAGUCUGUCUGCUAAAUUAGCACUCAGGAUUCAGGUUACCUGUCUGCUUUAUGCAUGGCGGACCCCUGAGUUCUGUGG
rnacentral:snoRNA from 1 species